ensembl:lncRNA
CUCGAGCAGAUCCGACAGCGCCAGAGCUGUAAAGGCAUCGCUGCAGUUCUGCUCUGACACCCGGACCCAGCACUGCAGAGCACAGUGGGAACUGAAAAGGAAAUCAGAUAUUCCACACAGUCCGAAUGGAAGAAUUUUGCUGUGGUGCACUUUUCGAUUGGGCUUCUACAGUUAACCUUCAGAAAUCUCUCACUUCCUCCUCACUUCUUAUUCCUUAAUAACAUUUUCACUAUGAGCACCUUUAUAUUGAAUUGCUGUAGUCAAAACAGAACCAAAAAGAUUUUAACACAGGCUCAAAACAACGAUUCCUCCUCCUCCGUCUCCAUCUCAGGCAGUGGCGAUAUGCCCACAGAUUACUCAAAGGAAAUGCUGUUACCCACCACAACAGCCACAUUGCCAACAGGAAUAGCCAGGAAAGGGCAACCAGAAGCAACUUUGCCUGCAGAGAUGGGAAAUACCACCAAACCGGGGCAGUGUGUGAGGACAGGCUUUCACUAGAAGGGAGUAGGAAUGAUAAGCAGUACAUUUUAAAGCAGCAUAGGGAAACGCACAAAGACCAGCACAGGUGUUGAUCAGCUGAAUAGCUGAGCUCAGCCACCACUGAGCCACUGCUGGAGCCCACUGGCUGCGUGCACACAGCCCUCUGCAGGCGGUGCUCCCUGG